UUCAGCAACAUGUACAAUACAAUGUAUAUUUCAUUUUAAAAUCACAAAACAAAAACAAACAAACAAGUAGAGGAUUAUCAUUUUAGUAAUUAUUGUGUUUCCAAAAACAUGUGUUAAAACAAAUGGAUACAGGACAAACUGGGAUGCAUGAAACAGGACCAAACGGAGACACCACACUUGAUAUAUUGUCUCCAAUCACCAUCAUGGUCGUUUUCGUUUCCCCAAUACAAACAGUAUGUCCAUGGAUUUUUAAUAAAUAGAUUUUUCUCAGGAUCUGAAUGAUUAUAGAUAGUAAUUCACUAGCAAUUAUGCAAUCAGUUAAAAGACAAAAUAGACUGGUAUAGCAGCAUUUUAUACCAUGUUGAAAGUAAAAGGAUAAUUCCAGAAUCUUUUCAGUUAAGAAUGGACUGCAAGCGAUAACUACCAAUACUUUGCAUUAAUUUUGCUUAUCUAUUUGUGUUUUAAUCCGAUCGUCCUCAAUAUUUUUUUGUAACCAUCUGUACGGCAACCAUCAAGGCAACCAUCAAAGCAACAGACGGUGCAUCUGAAUCAGUACUGCUUAGCGUCCAUACAAGAUAUUCACAAAGCUGAUUUGGAAUAGAACUUUCUGCACCUCCCCUUUCAGUGUUAUAAAAUGCCGAGACAAACAGACGACUUCGAUUACGAGAAGCUUAUAGGACUUGUCCGUGAGAGGGAGAUGUUAUAUAAUCCUGCACACCACAUGUACAAAGACGUACAGAUGCAUAAAAAUAUAUGGAUGUCCAUUGGCAACGUCAUGAAAAUAUCAGCCUUUGCUUCCAGCUUGAAAUCUCAAAUAUUGCUCCAAUUUUACGAAGUUAAUUUUGAGCGUUGGUCCAUGCUGACUGAAGCACCUAUGAGUUAUCCGUCAUCAUCUUGACUGG